rnacentral:rRNA from 1 species
GGACUACAAGGGUUUCUAAUCCUGUUUGCUCCCCGCGCUUUCGCACAUCAGCGUCAGUACCGGGCCAGUGAGCCGCCUUCGCCACUGGUAUUCUUGCGAAUAUCUACGAAUUUCACCUCUACACUCGCAGUUCCACUCACCUCUCCCGGACUCAAGAUCGCCAGUAUCGAGGGCAGUUCUGGAGUUGAGCUCCAGGAUUUCACCCCCGACUUAACAACCCGCCUACGUGCGCUUUACGCCCAGUGAUUCCGAGCAACGCUAGCCCCCUUCGUAUUACCGCGGCGGCUGGGCA